CGAGGGGCAGCGGGGUUGUAGCAAUACAACUGCCGGCGACCGGCGCACGGGUGAGUAACACGUAUGUAACCUGCCCUCUGCAGGGGGAUAAGCGGAAGAAAUUCCGUCUAAUACCGCAUAAUACAAUUUGGAGACAUCUCCGGGUUGUCAAAGGAGUGAUCCGGCAGAGGAUGGACAUGCGGCGCAUUAGCUAGUCGGCGGGGUAACGGCCCACCGAGGCUACGAUGCGUAGGGGUUCUGAGAGGAAGGUCCCCCACACUGGUACUGAGACACGGACCAGACUCCUACGGGAGGCAGCAGUGAGGAAUAUUGGUCAAUGGGCGGAAGCCUGAACCAGCCAAGUCGCGUGAGGGAAGACGGUCCUAUGGAUUGUAAACCUCUUUUGCAGGGGAGCAAGGCGCGGUACGUGUACCGCGAAGGAGAGUACCCUGAGAAAAAGCAUCGGCUAACUCCGUGCCAGCAGCCGCGGUAAUACGGAGGAUGCGAGCGUUAUCCGGAUUUAUUGGGUUUAAAGGGUGCGCAGGCGGACUGUUAAGUCAGCGGUAAAAUGUCGGUACUCAACACCGGCCGGCCGUUGAAACUGGCAGCCUUGAGUGAGCGAGAAGUAUGCGGAAUGCGUGGUGUAGCGGUGAAAUGCAUAGAUAUCA
rnacentral:rRNA from 1 species